GUUCCACUUACAUCUGAAAAAAAGUUAGGGUAGGUAGGUAGAGAAAUUUUUUUAUUUUAUGUUUUUUUUUUACAUUGAGUCUAUGGGUGCAACAUUCUGACUUUAACAAUGCUUAAUGAAAAAUGACAAUAAAAUCUUUAGGGUAGGCUAUUUUUAUGCCGAAAAAGUAGAGACGGUAGGGUUACUGGAACCACACAUAUAUUUCUAUUUCGCCUAAUGUAUAGAUUUCUAAG
rnacentral:lncRNA from 1 species